rnacentral:lncRNA from 1 species
UGGCAAGGAGCCAAGAUUGCUGGCAUUUAAGUAGGAGUCGGAAAAUUGUCUCAGGGUGUGUUCAAAGAUCUCUUUCUCAUUGAGAGAGAGGCUGAACCUUUUAAGUUCCUCCUUCCAACAUUAGAGUCCAUAGCUCCCCCCAAUUGAAAAUUGAUUUCAUUCAUUUUUUUUAGGCAGAAAUAAAAGCAUUGAGGGCACUUCGUGGUCUGCGUUGGUGGGUGAAGGACUGAAAUGAGACAAGAAUAGAACUCUGCGCUCCCUACUCCCCAAACCGCAGCAGAAAAGGAACUCGAAACUGCACCCCCAACAGGGGGAGGAGGAAGCUUUGGACAUCCUUUUCAUGUGACCGGCUAGCAUGGCUUUGAAACCAUGCCCCACAGCUUUAACAGAAACUGGUGACUAUCAGAAAUUCUUGAGCUUAUCUUACAGAACAGCAGGAACUCGGGAUUAUCACACAGACUUUGUAAAACACGGGCUUGUCCUGACCAAGGAGGAGAGACAGACCAUUUAGCUCCUGAGAAGGUGGUGCCUACUGACAUAUCUUAAAGAGGAAGAUGGGGAAUGGGUUUCCUCACAUCUGGUGGCACUGGUGGUAAAGAACCCACCUGCCAGUGCAGGAGAUGUAAGAGACACAGGUCCGAUCCCUGGGUUGGGAAAGAGCCCCUGGAGGAGGAAACGGCAACCCACUCCAGUGUUCUUGCCUGAAGAGUCCCAUGGACAGAGGAGCCUGGUGGGCUACAGUUCAUAGGGUCACAAAGAGACAUGACUGAAGCGACUUAGCACACAUACAAGCAUGGCCCCUGGGAGGCAGCUAAGAUAUGGUUUCUCCAGUGGUCAUGUAUGGAUGUGAGAGUCGGACUAUAAAGAAAGCCGAGGAUUGAUGCUUUUGAACUGUGGUGUUGGAGAAGACUCUUGAGAGUCCCUUGGACUGCAAGGAGACCCAACCAGUCCCUCCUAAAGGAAAUCAGUCCUGAAUAUUCAUUGGAAGGACUGAUACUGAAGCUGAAAC